GGGCGAUAGAGUUUGAUCCUGGCUCAGAACGAACGCUGGCGGCAUGCCUAACACAUGCAAGUCGAACGCCUGUAGCAAUACAGGAGUGGCGCACGGGUGAGUAACGCGUGGGAACCUGCCCUGGAGUGUGGGAUAACCCGGCGAAAGCCGGGCUAAUACCGCAUACGGCCUGAGGGCGAAAGAUUUAUCGCUCUAGGAGGGGCCCGCGUCGGAUUAGCUAGUUGGUGGGGUAAUGGCCUACCAAGCCUGCGAUCUGUAGCUGGUCUGAGAGGACGAUCAGCCACACUGGGACUGAGACACGGCCCAGACUCCUACGGGAGGCAGCAGUUAGGAAUCUUGCGCAAAUGCGGGAAACCGUGACGCAGCGACGCCGCGUGGGGGAAGAAGGCCUUCGGGUUGUAAACCUCUUUCAGGAGGGACGAAGCUACUCGGGUUAAUAGCCCAGAGGGUGACGGUACCUUCAGAAGAAGCCCCGGCUAACUACGUGCCAGCAGCCGCGGUAAUA
rnacentral:rRNA from 1 species